CGCCGCCCCCGACCUGCCGGCAAAUUUGCUUGCUCCGCCGCCUCUCCCACCCCGGCAUCCCAUCCCUUGGCCCGACGUCUAGUCCUGCGUGCUGCCCUAUUAUACACUGCCGAGGAGUUGCUGCCCCAUCUGCAGCCGAGGAGACGCCGCCCCAUCUACAUACGAGGAGCCGCCGCCUAGUUCACUGCCUAGGAGUCGGCGCAUAGUCCGCUGGCAAGGAGGCAAUUGAGUUCUGGAGUCGCCCUGCUAUUCGUAUUCCUCCACCAGCGACCCCUGUCCAGAUCGGCACCCCUUGUCUUGCCCCGACUCCAGUCUCCAGGCCACUAUAGGUAAACCGAGUUUUUUCCUUUGCAUCUACUCCUAUAUAAGUUCUAGGCUUUGCUCUUGUUCUGUCUUCUUUAAUCUUGUCUACUCUCGCAUCUUGUCUUUUCAUUUAUCCAGUGGUGGGCAUGCUCAUGUAAGAAGGUUUAUUAGUAACUUCUGCACAUAUUAACAUUCAGAGACCAGCUUUAACUACUAGAGGGUGCAGAUUUAGAAAAGAAAAUGUAACAGAGUUGUGGCACACCUUUUGGUUCAACAUUGCUGUUUCUGGAUGUUCAAGUGGAGAGUUCCCUACACUUCAGAGAUCUAAUUCACCAGAUUCUGCAUUUUGACACAGAACCUUCAGUUAAAUAACACCGAAGAUUCAGAUUUCUUGUAUGUUGGGAGAAAAGAUGGAAGGAACAAGAGUUGGAAGUGAGCUCCCUGUAUAUGAACAAUUGAGGCUAGCAAGUAUUGCAGAAAACAAAAAUAUGUUGAGAGCUCUUGUUGAAAUAAACAAGAAAUAUUUAGCAUUGGGAGAAAACAUGAGGCCCUCUGGGGAAGUAGGUGGCUUGUCCCAGCCAGCCAAGAAGAAAGUUAUUCGGAGUUCUCAUUGCUAUAUGUAGCUGGCAUCAAGAGUUACGCUCGUAGCAGGCAUGAAUUGAAACAACCUGAAGAAGCAGCUGAACUCCACACAGAAUUGAAGGAAAAACCUACACAAGGAGAUUUUCACGCACAUGUUUUUGGAGAGAAGGAACCAAGAGGAGGUGUGCGAAAGUUAUGUCUGGGACCAACUCCUCAAAAUGUGGGUACACAAGGAACAAAGGCUAAACCGCCAACAAAGCUUGAAUUAGAAUUCAAAUUUCGUCGACAAGAUGAACAAGUUUGUACUCUACUAGAGCGCAUGGAACAAAUGCAAUGAAAAAUUGGAGAGAUGCAUCAAGUUCUUUUUUCUCUAGGAAUCCAAAAUGUGGAAACACCAUUGCCUAAUAGUUCUGUCUCUCAGCCCGUGCUCUCACGGAUUGUAGCACAAGAUGGCAAAUGGAACUUCUAAUUCAGACGACUUUUGCUAAGUUAUAUCAGGGACAAAUGAUAGAAAGUACCAAGCCCGCUAGUUGAUUGAAGAUGUCCUCGCGAUUGCUUUUGCUGAAAACAUGGAUGACACAUUUUGUUCAUACAGAAGUUGAUUUGGCUUGGAGAUUGAAGAGUUGGUCUUCGAUAAUAUUCCGUAGUCAGUCCAGUGAUCAAGCACUUGGUCUCUUAGGAAUUUUAGCCAUUAUGUUUGUAACAUGCCUAUCUUGUAUAUCUGACUUGUGUAUUUCCUUCAUGGUUGUAG